CGGGGCGUGGUGUAACGGCUAACAUGCCUGUUUUGGGUACAGGUGACUCCCGGUUCGAAUCCGGGCGCCCCGACAA
rnacentral:tRNA from 2 species